UAGGGAAUCUUCCGCAAUGGGCGAAAGCUUGACGGAGCAACGCCGCGUGAGUGAUGAAGGUCUUCGGAUCGUAAAACUCUGUUAUUAGGGAAGAACAAAUGUGUAAGUAACUAUGCACGUCUUGACGGUACCUAAUCAGAAAGCCACGGCUAACUACGUGCCAGCAGCCGCGGUAAUACGUAGGUGGCAAGCGUUAUCCGGAAUUAUUGGGCGUAAAGCGCGCGUAGGCGGUUUUUUAAGUCUGAUGUGAAAGCCCACGGCUCAACCGUGGAGGGUCAUUGGAAACUGUAAUACUUGUGGUCAGAAGAGGACAGUGGAAUUCCAUGUGUAGCGGUGAAAUGCGCAGAAAUAUGGAGGAACACCAGUGGCGAAGGCGACUUUCUGUUCUGUAACUAACGCUGAUGUGCGAAAGCGUGGGGAUCAAACAGG
rnacentral:rRNA from 1 species